rnacentral:lncRNA from 1 species
UGGAGGUUUACUCCCGACCAGAAGUCCUUGGUCGUGGAACCUGGGGCCUCCGCCGCUGUGUUUUUGGUGGAGGCUGGAACCUGGGCCGCCGUGCCUAUUGCCGCCGUGGUCGUGCCCGUGGUUUCGGACACCGUGGUCACGGUCGUGCCCGUGGUUUCGGACACCGGUGACUAUCAGAGCGAAGGCGCCGUCCGCGGAGAUGAGGGGAUCUGCGGCGAUGGUGCCCAGAUCCACGGCAGCGGCGUCAACUGUGAUGAGAAGCGCAUCUGCGGCGAUGGCGACCAUGGCAAGGGCACCAGUUCCUCGAUUCUCAGCAGUUACCUUCCUCUCCUAAUCCCCGUCUUCAGGAAACAGGAGCCAAUCAAUUUUGUUGCAUUGUAGACCAAUACUGUUGUUUGUAAAUAAUUUGAACUUGCUAAUAUUGUGAACACUGCAGUUAAGUUCCUUGGGCCGCUAGAUUACUUAUUUGUCACUGCAAGUAGAAAGUUGAAGUGCUAAAGCUGAUGAUGGGUUUCGGCUGAGUAAGUAGUAUACUCUGAUUUAGUUGCGAUAGGCUUUGUUCUUGCCAUCAUUUGAUAUGGAAUAGUUGUGUUAUGACCAGAGAUUGCAUCUGUUACCCUCUUCUUUGGACGUCUUUCCAAGCCAAUAAAAAACUGGUGCAUAGGCAGACGACCUACAUGGUUGGUUUGCCAGCCCAUUGCGUUUUCAUUGUUGCCCUGGUGUCAAAUGGUCCACCAAUACUCCAUUCUAAUGAAUAAGCUGUCCUCGGUCUUCUGUGUUUAUAAAUGUUGUUGGUAUAAAAUUAGCAUAAUUAGAAAGUGUUUUUAAAUACGAAUAUAAUGAUACUGACCAUUGCGUUUUCAUUGUUGCCCUGGUGUCAAAUGGUCCACCAAUACUCCAUUCUAAUGAAUAAGCUGUCCUCGGUCUUCUGUGUUUAUAAAUGUUGUUGGUAUAAAAUUAGCAUAAUUAGAAAGUGUUUUUAAAUACGAAUAUAAUGAUACUGAUAAUGUAGAAUAUAAUCAGAUUUUGUUCAAAUUAUUUUUUGGGGUUAUUUCAAAUAUUUGCCGCGAGUAAGCAUGGCGUCGAGGAUCGCAUAGAGGAGGAGCAGGCCUGAGGAGAUGGCGAGGCGCGACACGCACGGGACGCCGGCACAUGAGCCCUCGAGCUCGGCCUCGGCAAUGAUCCAUAGCGACGUUGGCGGGGAUCGAGAGGAAGGAAGACGCGCGCACAGAUGCUAAACGCCAGGACCACGACAAGCCCCGGCCCCAUCGUCGCAAUUACUACUUCCUCGUCGUUCGCUGCUGGCUCCGUGGUGGAGGCCUCACCAGGUCAGGCUGCUCCACCGCGCGCGCUGCGACGACCAGGUGGAGCGCGUCUCCGCGGUCUUCUUCACCGACCAUUGAGGCCACCGAGCUCCUGGGCCGGACGUCGUCGUCCUCCCGCUCGCACGCAGCAACCACGACGAUGGUCCUGCCGCGACCUGCAGCUCAGCGACUAGGCAGCUCCUGCAGGUUCAGGCGUCCGGGCGUGAUUUUUUUCUUGAAAGUUAUUUUCAGGCCUUCUGGGCCCGGCCCGGCCCGCAGAGAGUACUAAUCGCACACGUGACGUACUGACGCGGCCGUGGCUACAAAAUCGCCAACCCAAAGGUGAACCCUAGGUCCGUCCCUAGCCCCAAAUUUCGUUCCCAAAUCGCGCCGCCUGCUGCCAUCCCAUCCCAUCCCCUCGCCUCUGCUUGGACCUCCUCCGCUUCCUCGCCCUUCUUGACGGACGGACAUGGCUGUUUCCUCAUGGGUUCCACCUUCUCUUCCCGAGUCCAGCGCCGCCGCCUCAGGCUCAGGCGAGUCAGGCCUGGUCCUCCUCGACAUGUGGUGCUACAUCGCCGACCUUCCCAACAACACCACCGCCGAGGGCACCACCAGCACCGGCUUGCCUAUCAAGGUGACCCUCCGCGCCGCCCGCCCGCCACAUCUCUCCCACUUUUGUGUCCACUGCCCUGGCCUCGACUUCCGCAUAACAGGGCCCAAGAUUGUCGCCACCGACGCACAUCUCGUCCUCCUCUGCGUUCCCAUCCACCCCAACAGCGCCACCGGAGCAUUGGACUGGGACUACUUCGUCUACAGCCCGCGCGCCCAGCGGCUAGAUCUGCUACCCAACCCGGACCCCAUAUGCCUCAACGACUCCGCAACUGCCCUCAUUAGCCGCCAAGACGGCGCUUGGUAUGCCGUCGCUGCUCUCGGUUACGCUAACCCCCUGUACGAUGGCGGCGCGCUCAUUAGGUGGGAGUUCUGCCUCCACCUCUACAGAUCCUCAUCAAAUUCUAAAGCUUGGAUCUCCAAGCGCUUGUCACUGAAUAAGUUCAAGAGGGACAAGCUCAUCCCUUUACCUGCAGCAGUCGACAGGCUGUACCACGAGACGGAAAAGACCAUCACAAUUGGUGGCGAGCAUGGCACGGUCGCCUGGGUGGACCUCUGGCGUGGCAUCUUCUUUUGCGACGUGCUCAAGAAACGCCCACUGCUCCGGGAUGUUCCACUGCCGGUGCCGGCAAGGUCUAACUGGGAUCGCCUCCUCAUAAAUGAUGACCCCGGCUAUUUCCGGGACGUAACUAUCAGCCGAAACAAAGACUCGAUCAAGUAUGUUGAGUUGGAAUUCCGGUCAAUAGAAGUGCUCAACCCCGCCACCACCCCUGUUUCCUACACCGACUGGGUGGCGGUGAAGAAUUCCUCAAGGAAAUCUCUUCAUGUCAUCCGCGAUGGCUGGAAGUCCACAACAUGGAGCAUGGCAAUACCCGUUGGUUUGCAGGAGCGCUGGAACCGUGACUGUGUAUUUGAUGUUAAAGACAUCAGCUUGGAGCCAUGCCUUUCUGAUCGCAUGGCUAUGCUGAGCAGCAAGACCAUGAAGGAACUUCAAGUGGGACACCCCAUCCUAAGCAUGGAUGAUGACGUCGUUUACUUGCUUUCUGAAACCACACCCAAGCACAUGGACAAGUUGGCACUGAUGUUUGCUAUUGAUGUGAAGAAGUCAACACUGCGAGGAUUGGCUGAGCUUGAUGUCAAGAAGUUCGAUUACCUGUCCAGCUUCUGCACUAGUGAGAUCUGCAGGGGUACCUGAGCAAUAUUAAGGUAACUUCUUUAUGCUGGUAAGUUCCUUUUAUGUUUUUAUGUGUGCCUAUAUGUAUGAAUGCCAUGCUUGCCAUGAAAACUAGUGAAUCAUCGUGUUGGUACCAUUCUGGUUUCAGUAGGAUCUAGAGCUUAGCAAGUUAGUGCAUCUUAUUCAGGAGCUAUGGCUUGAUGACAGUGUGAUUCAAUGUAGGGUUAUUGACAUGACUGGUUCUGUACAGCAUUGUUGAUGCUGUAUAUCAGUUGUUAAACAAAUCCUGGCAAUCCAAUAAAACUAAGUUUGUGUUAAGCUGAAUUUUGGUUGUUUGUGCGCGAACCUUCCUGUGAAAUGUUAGCAAAACUGUUAUGGAAGUAGACAAGGCCACAACUCAGUUUUCUUUAACUGUGGUGGAAUUCUGUCAAAUCAAUAUACUAAAAAGCUUAUAUUGAAAACAAAAGACAAAUAUUAAGAUUAUGCUUAUUUUGCUUGAGUCGUCCAUACAAUACUUAUUUUUUGUCAUUAAUUUUGAAUCUACUUUGAAAUAUACUAAUAUGCCUUAAAACAUGAUAAUUAUUUGCUGAUACCAUCAUUGGCAUGUUAAUACCCUGCAUCUCACGAGCCUGGCUCGGGAGAAACGGAUUUCAAUCUCGUUACCUAGGAGCCAGGCUCGCUGGCUACUUUGCAUGCCACGGGACAGGUUUAGACCUUCCCCCAGGCAACCAAACGCCCAAAACCCGCACAGCCUGGCCGGGGCAUCUGCAGGGAACCAAAUGUGUUCUUAUUGGACAUGGACAUGGUGUUGAGUUGCGUUUUAUGACAGAAACUAAGUUCCUCUGGGUUUUCACUUCAAGAAUAAUAUAUUUGACCAAAACUAACACGCAUAAUUUAUCUUGCUUAUAUGUUUCUUUCUAUUUUUUGUGCUAGUUACUGAUAAACAUGAGACUUGUUCUUGUUGGAUAAAAAUAAUAAUUCUUGCUGUAGAGAAUUUUUUUCUCAUUCAAAACAUGAGCUAUUCUAUUUGAUGCAGGUAGAAGCGAGCUCUAUCGAAUAAACAAACUGAAGAGGGUAAACCAUCUGAGGUUCCUGCGAAGAACUGGCUAGGACAAAGAAAUUUCAACCAUGUUUGUUGAAACUUGGGAGCUGGAUGUGACCUUGGAGAUUGAAUUUCUUUAGUUGAUUUAUUAUGUAUUACAUGUAAUGCAACUAUCUGGGUUAUAUUGCUUGCUUAUGUACUUGUCCCGGUCAAAAAAAAGUGCUAGUGAACUUGUGUGGGCUAAAUGUCUUGGUUGAACCAUGUUUUUAUGUGUUUUGAUUUGGUUUUAAUUGUUCUGUAUGCACAUUUUCUCCAUUGUUCCUGGCAUGCCUCGUAAUGUCUAUCUCUAAUGAUUUAAAUGCCCUCAAUUUACAUUUAUCUGUUGAUGAUGCAGUUCAAAACAAAAGCUGUUAAAAUAUAUAUGACGCUGCUGAUCAUAGCAUGCACUGUGGUGUUGGUUAAGCUCUUCAGCAUCCCCCCCUCAGUCUCUGAUACAUCAUUUUAGGUCCGUUUGCCUAUAAAUAACCUGGGUUCGUCAGCCAAAGAUGAGAUGAUGUUUACUGGCUUGAACUGUGCAAGGGCUAGGUGAUGUGGUGGUAGCUUUCGUAACUUGUGAGAAUCGCAUCAGUGUAUCUACAGUUCAGACCUCGAUCCUAGGAUUUAUUUCUGACUAGGUGAUGGCCCAUGCGAUGCUACACGAAUUUUUUUAAAAAUAAUUAUUCUAAAAGUACCGCAAGAAACUAAUAUAAAUAUUUUCAGUAACUAAAUACAUGGCAAAGUUGAUGGAAAGAAAUGGUACUUAAUUCUAGUAAAAGCUUUUAAGAAUUCAUGUCUAGCUAGAGAAUGCUUUAGCAAUUCAUAUUUUUCUAUUUGUGAUACUAAUGUAAAAAUAUCUCGCCACUGAUCAUCUGCUACCGCACGGUCCAACCACACAAGUACAUUAUUAUUUCCAGCUCGCUGAUUGUACACCCACACAUCUGCAAGCAGUCCUGAAAGGCUGCCAUUGGGGGCUCAGGUCGUCUACAAGCUGAGAAAUGCUCAUAGGGCUAGAGUGCUUGAUUGAAACUAGAUGACCCGUUGCGCCAAUGGCGCAAAGGGGAGAGGGAACCAAGCAUUCAAGCCGUUUAACUAAGAGUAUUUAAAAACCGAUCAUAAAAUUGUUGGAGCAUAAGAAAAGAAAAUAUAUACUUAGUUAUGAUGUUCACACAUAUGCUAUAUAUUACAUUGCAUCGUAGGUCCAUAGGAAGUACUAACUUAUAAAUGUUCCUAUGACUAUGAGAUUAUGCAACUCCCGUUUACCGGAGGAACACUUUGUGUGCUACCAAACAUCACUACGUAACUGGGUGAUUAUAAAGGAGCUCUACAGGUGUCUCUGAAGGUACAUGUUGAGUUGGCGUAUUUUGAGAUUAGGAUUUGUNNNNNNNNNNACUCCGAUUGUCGGAGAGGUAUCUCUGGGCCCACUCGGUAAUGCACAUCACUAUAAGCCUUGCAAGCAAUGUGACUAAUGAGUUAGUUGCGGGAUGAUGCAUUACGGAACGAGUAAAGAGACUUGCCGGUAACGAGAUUGAACUAGGUAUUGGAUACCGACGAUCGAAUCUCGGGCAAGUAACAUACCGAUGACAAAGGGAACAACGUAUGUUGUUAUGCGGUUUGACCGAUAAAGAUCUUCGUAGAAUAUGUAGGAGCCAAUAUGAGCAUCCAGGUCCCGCUACUGGUUAUUGACCAGGAACAGUUCUAGGUCAUGUCUACAUAGUUCUCGAACCCGUAGGGUCCGCACGCUUAACGUUACGAUGACAGUUUUAUUAUGAGUUUAUAAGUUUUGAUGUACCGAAGGUUCUUCGGAGUCCCGGAUAUGAUCACGGACAUGACGAGGAGUCUCGAAAUGGUCGAGACAUAACGAUUGAUAUAUUGGAUGACUAUAUUCGGACACCGGAAGUGUUCCGGGUGAUUUCAGAGAAAACCGGAGUGCUGGAGGGGUUACCGGAACCCCCCGGGAAAGUAUUGGGCCUUAGUGGGCCUGAGGGGAGAGAGAGGGCAGCAGCCCAGGAGGUGGCGCGCCCCCCCNNNNNNNNNNNNNNNNNNNNNNNNNNNNNNNNNNNNNNNNNNNNNNNNNNNNNNNNNNNNNNNNNNNNNNNNNNNNNNNNNNNNNNNNNNNNNNNNNNNNNNNNNNNNNNNNNNNNNNNNNNNNNNNNNNNNNNNNNNNNNNNNNNNNNNNNNNNNNNNNNNNNNNNNNNNNNNNNNNNNNNNNNNNNNNNNNNNNNNNNNNNNNNNNNNNNNNNNNNNNNNNNNNNNNNNNNNNNNNNNNNNNNNNNNNNNNNNNNNNNNNNNNNNNNNNNNNNNNNNNNNNNNNNNNNNNNNNNNCCCCCCCAUGGGGAGUCCGAAUUAGACUAGGGGAGGGGGGCGCGACCCCUCUUUCCCUCUCCCUCUCCCUCUCUUUCCUUCCUCCAUCCUUCUUCCUAGUGGGACUAGGAAAGGGGAGUCCUACUCCCACUAGGAGGAGGACUCCCCCUCCUUGGCGCGCCUCCUAGGGCCGGCCGGCCUCCCCCCUUGCUCCUUUAUAUACGGGGGCAGGGAGGCACCCCAAGACACACAAGUUGAUCUUCGUGAUCGUUCCUUAGCUGUGUGCGGUGCCCCCCUCCACCAUAUUCCACCUCGGUCGUAUCAUUGCGGUGCUUAGGCGAAGCCCUGCGUCGGUAGAACAUCAUCAUCGUCACCAUGCCGUCGUGCUGACGGAACUCAUCCCCGACACCCUGCUGGAUCGGAGUCCGGGGAUCGUCAUCGAGCUGAACGUGUGCUGAACUCGGGGGCAGGGGGGCACCCUAGAGACACACAAGUUCAUCUACGGAUCGUUCCUUAGCCGUGUACGGUGCCCCCCUCCACCAUAUUCCACCUCGGUUAUAUCGUCGCGGAGUUUAGGCGAAGCCUUGCGCCGGUAGAACAUCAUCAUCGUCACCACGCCGUCGUGCUGACGGAACUCAUCCCCGACGCUUUGCUGGAUCGGAGCCCGGGGAUCGUCAUCGAGCUGAACGUGUGCUGAACUCGGAGGUGCCGUAUGUUCGGUACUUGGAUCGGUCGAAUCGUGAAGACAUACGACUACAUCAACCACGUUGUCAUAACGCUUCCGCUUACGGUCUACGAGGGUACAUGGACAAUACUCUCCCCUCUCGUUGCUAUGCCAUCACCAUGAUCUUGCGUGUGCGUAGGAAUUUUUUUGAAAUUACUACGUUCCCCAACAGUAUGUUCGGUGCUUGGAUCGGUCGGAUCGUGAAGAUGUACGACUACAUCAACCGCGUUGUCAUAACGCUUCCGCUUACGGUCUACAAGGGUACGUGGACAACACUCUCCCCUCUCGUUGCUAUGCAUCACCAUGAUCUUGCGUGUGCGUAGGAUUUUUUUUGAAAUUACUAUGUUCCCCAACAGUGGUAUCAGAGCCUAGAUUUAUGCGUAGAUGUUAUAUGCACGAGUAGAACACAAGUGAGUUGUGGGCGAUACAAGUCAUACUGCUUACCAGCAUGUCAUACUUUGGUUCAGCGGUAUUGUUGGAUGAAGCGGCCCGGACCGACAUUACGCGUACGCUUACGCGAGACUGGUUUUACCGCCNNNNNNNNNNNNNNNNNNNNNNNNNNNNNNNNNNNNNNNNNNNNNNNNNNNNNNNNNNNNNNNNNNNNNNNNNNNNNNNNNNNNNNNNNNNNNNNNNNNNACACACUUGGGAGCCCCUGGUGUGGUUGAGCCGCACUCUGGGCCUGUCGUGGUCGUGCCCCUCCCCCUAUGCCCAUGGUAUCUCCAGAGCGUAACGAUGUACGCGAAGUACUAGUCUUGCAAUCAUGCAAGGGCUGGGGUUGGGGCCGCAUUGCUACGCGUGCUCGGAACGUGCCAGGUGGUCUUGAUGUAUGUUACUCCGGGCGCGCUUGGAUAUGUCCGGUCGCUUAACGGCCGGACUUGAGAAUUGCCUUAAGAGGCUGCUCUGUACUUCUGCUGCGAGAGCCGAUGUAUGUUCCUCCGUUCGGAGGGAGCGUUCUGUGUUUCCGUUGACCGUGAUGACUCCUCGAGGGCCUGGCAUCUUGAGCUUGAGGUCUGCAUAAUGUGGCACCGCGUUGAACUUUGCAAACGCGGUCCGUCCGAGCAGAGCAUGAUAGCCGCUGCGGAACGGGACUAUAUCGAAGAUUAACUCCUCGCUUCGGAAGUUAUCCAGGGAUCCGAAGACCACUUCCAGUGUAACCGAGCCUGUACAAUUGGCCUCUACACUUGGUAUGACGCCUUUGAAGGUCAUAUUUGUAGGUUUAAUCCUUGAGGGGUCUAUGCCCAUCUUGCGCACUGUAUCCUGCUAAAGCAAGUUCAGGCUGCUGCCGCCGUCCAUCAGGACUCUGGUAAGGUGAAAUCCAUCGACGAUUGGGUCUAAAACCAAUGCGGCGAAUCCGCCAUGGCGGAUACUGGUGGGGUGAUCCCUUCAAUCAAAAGUGAUCGGGCAAGAGGACCAUGGAUUGAACUUCGGGGUGACUGGCUCCAUCGCAUAUACAUCCCUAAGUGCACGCUUCCGUUCCCUCUUGGGUAUGUGGGUUGCGUAUAUCAUGUUUACCGUCCACACUUGUGGGGGGAAACCCUUCUGUCCUCUACUGUUCGGCGGCCGGGUCUCUUCCACGUCAUCGCUAUGCAGCCCCUUGUCGUUGUUUUCGGCAAUUAACUUGCCUGCCUGCUUGAAUACCCAACAAUCCCUGUUAGUGCGAUUAGCUGGCUUUUCAGGGGUGCCAUGUAUCUGGCAAGAGCGGUCGAGUAUUCGGUCCAAAUUGGACGGACCCGGAGUGGUUCUUUUGAAUGGCUUUUUCCGCUGACCGGGUUUAGAGCCUCUGAAUCCGGCGUUGACUGCCGUAUCCUUAGUGUUAUCACUGUUAACGCGGCGUUUGUUUUUGUUUCGACGCGACCUGCCAUUGCGGUCCUUGGUAUCCAGACUGCCAGAAUUUUUGCUGAGGUUGUUACUGCGGGCUAGCCAGCUAUCCUCCCCGCACAGAGGCGGGUCAUGAGUGAUGUGAGGGCUGCCAUGGAUUUCGGCUUUUCCUGUCCUAGGUGCCAGGCCAGCCACUCGUCGCGGAUGUUGUGUUUGAAGGCUGCGAGGGCCACUGCAUCUGGACAGUCGACGAUUUGAUUUUUCUUUGUUAGGAACCGUGUCUAGAAUUGUCUGGCCGAUUUGUCUGGCUGCUGGAUUAUGUGGCUUAGGUCAUUGGCGUCUGGUGGUCGCACAUAUGUGCCCUAGAAGUUGUCGAGGAAUGCAGCUUCCAGGUCCUCCCAACACCCAAUUGACUCUACUGGCAAGCUGUUAAGCCAAUGCCGAGCUGGUCCUUUAAGCUUGAGUGGGAGAUAUUUGAUGGCGUGGAGAUCGUCACCGCGGGCCAUAUGGAUAUGAAGGAGAUAGUCUUCGAUCCAAACCGCGGGGUCUGUUGUGCCAUCGUAGGAUUCAAUGUUCAUGGGUUUAAACCCUUCAGGGAUUUGAUGAUCCAUUACUUCAUCUGUGAAGCAUAGUGGGUGUGCGGCGCCUCUAUACUGGGCAAUAUCACGACGUAGCUCAAGAGAGCUUUGUCUACUGUGUUCGGCCCGACCGGAGUUGCUGUAUCCGGUACGACGGUAGUUGUCGCGCAUCAUGGGGCGCCCACGUGAUCCGUAGAUCGAUCUUGAUUGUCUUGCCUUGUCCUCCAAUAUGUCUCGCAAGUCCGGCGCAUUCCCCCGUGGCUUCACACUUUUUGAGCGGUGCCGGGGUACGGUUCUGGUGGAGGGCCUAGAUGCCUCUCUGUCGCGGCCACGAGGUGGUCGGUCUGCCGUAUUGUGCGCUGGUGAUGAGGGUUUAUACUCCUCCUCCUCUAAUUGGGAGAGAAACUUGCGUUUUGGGUAGCUUUUGGAGGGGCGUUCGAGUUCAUGCUCUUCGGCCGCGAGGACUUUGGUCCAUCUGUCGGCCAGCAGGUCUUGAUCAGCUCUGAGCUGUUGCUGCUUUUUCUUUAGGCUGUUUGCCGUGGCCAUAAGCCUGCGUUUAAAACGCUCUUGUUCGACGGGAUCCUCGGGCACGACAAAUUCGUCAUCAUUUAGGCUUGCCUUGUCUCCGGAGGGAGGCAUGUAAUUGUCAUCCUCGACCUCUUCGUCUGCCGCUCUCUCGUGAGGGUUGGCUUCUACGUCCUCCUGUGCUGAAUCUUGCUGGAAGGGGUUGUCUUCAGCACUCCCUGGGGUGUUAUUAUCUCUGGUGCCGGAAUCUCCAUUCUUGUUGUGGCGGGAUUUAGAGCGGCGCCGCUGACGUCGGCGCUUGGGCUAUUUCUUAGGGGAAUCUGCCUCCGCUGCUUCUUCGCCGCUCCCAUCCUUUGGGAUGUCCACCAUGUAUAUGUCGUAUGAUGAGGUGGUCUUCUAGUGCCCCGUAGGCGCUGGUUCUUGGUCGUCUCCGGCAUCGUCGUCCAUACCGUCGAUGUCUUCGGAGUCGUAGUCUAGCAUGUCGGUUAGAUCGUCGACAGUGGCUACAAAGUGGGUGGUGGGUGGGUUUUGAAUUUCUUCGUCGUCCGCAUCCCAACCGUCCUGGCCGCAGUCCGGCCAGGGCUCUCCUGAUUAACGAGAGAUGUUUUAGCGAAUUCAGAAUGUCGCCAAAGGGUGAGUGCUGAAAUAUGUCCGCGGCGGUGAACUCCAUGAUCGGCGCCCAAUCGGAUUCGAUUGGUAGGGGCGCAGGAGGUUCGGAGUCCGGCGAGGAGUCCGGCACCUAAGAGUCACGAGCUUUACGAGGGACAAGGUCAGUAUUCAGCUCCAUCGCCGUAGAGAUUGCAGCUCCUGAGGCGGUGUCCAGCCACCUGUCCUCGAUCUGCGCGGUCGGCUCCGAACUAGGGGCCGGAGCGGACUCAUGUGCGGCUUCCAGGGCACUGUCCGACGGCAGAGCUAAAUCGUGCCCAUCGUGACAGUGUGGCGCGCUCGGCUGUGGCUCGAAUCCAUCGAAGAUCAAGUCUCCGCGGAUGUCAGCCGUGAAGUUUAGGCUUCCAAAUCUGACCUGCUGGCCAGGGGCGUAACUUUCGAUCUGCUCCAGAUGGCCAAGCGAAUUGGCCCGCAGUGCAAAGUCGCCGAACACAAAGAUCUGUCCGGGGAGAAAAGUCUCACCCUGGACUGNNNNNNNNNNNNNNNNNNNNNNNNNNNNNNNNNNNNNNNNNNNNNNNNNNNNNNNNNNNNNNNNNNNNNNNNNNNNNNNNNNNNNNNNNNNNNNNNNNNNNNNNNNNNNNNNNNNNNNNNNNNNNNNNNNNNNNNNNNNNNNNNNNNNNNNNNNNNNNNNNNNNNNNNNNNNNNNNNNNNNNNNNNNNNNNNNNNNNNNNNNNNNNNNNNNNNNNNNNNNNNNNNNNNNNNNNNNNNNNNNNNNNNNNNNNNNNNNNNNNNNNNNNNNNNNNNNNNNNNNNNNNNNNNNNNNNNNNNNNNNNNNNNNNNNNNNNNNNNNNNNNNNNNNNNNGUGGUUGUUGAUGAUUGAAGGAGCCAUCAAGCCUAUCAGUGACGACACAGAGGAACUCUCAAUGAAAGCACCAAUGUCGGUGUCAAAACCGGCGGAUCUCGGGUAGGGGGUCCCAAACUGUGCGUCUAGGCGGAUGGUAACAGGAGACAAGGGACACGAUGUUUUUACCCAGGUUCGAGCCCUCUCGAUGGAGGUAAAACCCUACUCCUGCUUGAUUGAUAUUGACGAUAUGGGUACUACAAGAGUGGAUCUACCACGAGAUCAAGGAGGCUAAACCCUAGAAGCUAGGCUAUGGUAUGAUUGUUGUAAUGGUUGUUCGUCCUAUGGACUAAAACCCUCCGGUUUAUAUAGACACCGGAGAGGGCUAGGGUUACACACAGUCGGUUACAAUUGUAGGAGAUCUACAUAUCCGUAUUGCCAAGCUUGCCUUCCACGCCAAGGAAAGUCCCAUCCGGACACGGGACGAAGUCUUCAAUCUUGUAUCUUCAUAGUCUUGGACUCCGGCCGAUGAUGAUAGUCCGGCUAUCCGGACACCCCCUAGUCCAGGACUCCCUCACCGAUGUUGACUAGUUCGUCUCACGUGAUGAUCGGACACGGCCUAGUUGACUCGGAUCAUGUAAUCACUUAGAUGACUAGAGGGAUGUCUAUCUGAGUGGGAGUUCAUAAGAUGAACUUAAUUAUCCUGAACAUAGUCAAAAGGUCUUUGCAAAUUAUGUUGUAAGCUCGCGCUUUAGUUCUACUAUUUUAGAUAUGUUCCUAGAGAAAAAUUUAGUUGAAAGUUGAUAGUAGUGAUUAUGCGGUCUAGGUCCGUAAACUAAGGAUUGUCCUCAUUGCUUUGUAGAAAGCUUAUGUCCUUAAUGCACCGCUCAGUGUGCUGAACCUCGAACGUCAUUUGUGGAUGUUGCGAACAUCUGACAUACACGUUUUGAUAACUACGUGAUAGUUCAGUUAAAUGGUUUAGAGUUGUGGCACCAAAGACGAUUUCGAAACGUCGCGGAACAUAUGAGAUGCUUUGAGGGCUGAAAUUGGGAUUUCAGGCUCGUGCCCAUGUCAAGAGGUAUAAGACCUCCGACGAUUUUCUUAGCCUGCAAACUAAGGAAGAAAAGCUCAAUCGUUGAGCUUGUGCCCAGAUUGUCUGAGUACCACAAUCACUUGAAUCGAGUGGGAGUUAAUCUUCCAGAUAAGAUAGUGAUGUUUCUCCAAAGUCAUUGCCACCAAGCUGCUAGAGCUUCGUGAUGAACUAUAACAUAUCAGGGAUAUAUAUGAUGAUCCUUGAAAAAUUCGNNNNNNNNNNNNNNNNNNNNNNNNNNNNNNNNNNNNNNNNNNNNNNNNNNNNNNNNNNNNNNNNNNNNNNNNNNNNNNNNNNNNNNNNNNNNNNNNNNNNNNNNNNNNNNNNNNNNNNNNNNNNNNNNNNNNNNNNNNNNNNNNNNNNNNNNNNNNNNNNNNNNNNNNNNNNNNNNNNNNNNNNNNNNNNNNNNNNGAUGUUUGACACCGCGAAAGUAGAAAUCAAGAAGGAGCAUCAAUUGUUGAUGGUUAGUGAAACCACUAGUUUCAAGAAGGGCAAGGGCAAGAAGGGAUACUUCAUGAAACGGCAAAUCAGUUGCUGCUCUAGUGAAGAAACCCAAGGUUGAACCCAAACCCGAGACUAAGUGCUUCUGUAAUAAAGGGGAACAGCCACCGGAGCAGAAUUACCCUAGAUACUUGGUAGAUGAGAAGGCUGGCAAGGUCGAUAGAAGUAUAUUGGAUAUACAUUAUGUUAAUUUGUACUUUACUAGUACUCCUAGUAACACCAGGGUAUUAGAUACCGGUUCAGUUGCUAAGUGUUAGUAACUCGAAAUAAAAGGCUGCGGAGUAAACGGAGACUAGCUAAAGGUGAGCUGGCGAUAUGUGUUGGAAGUUUUUCCAAGCUUGAUGUGAUCAAGCAUCGCACGCUCCCUCUACCAUCGAGAUGGGUGUUAAACCUAAAUAAUUGUUAUUUGGUGUUUGCGUUGAGCAUAGACAUGAUUGGAUUAUGUCUAUCACAAUACGGUUAUUAAUUUGAGGAGAAUAAUGGUUACUCUGUUUUUUUGAAUAAUACCAUCAAUGGUCUUGCACCUAAAAUGAAUGGUUUAUUGAAUCUCGAUCGUAGUGAUACACAUGUUCAUGCCAAAAGAUAUAAAGAUAGUAAUGAUAGUACCACCUACUUGUGGCACUGCCAUGUAAGUCAUAUUGGUAUAAAACGCAUGAAGAAGCUCCAUGUUGAUGGAUCUUUGGGCUCACUCGUUUUUGAAAAGUUUGAGACAUGCGAACCAUGUCUAUUGGUGUAUAUGCAUGAGGAAACUCCAUGCAGAUGGACCGUUUGGACUCACUUGAUUUUGAAUCACUUGAGACAUGCAAAUCAUACCACAUGGGCAAGAUGACUGAAAGCCUCAUUUUCAGUAAAAUGGAACAAGAAAGCAACUUGUUGGAAGUAAUACAUUUUGAUGUGUGCAGUCCAAUGAGUGCUGAGGCACGCAGUGGAUAUCGUUAUGUUCUUACUUCACGGAUGAUUUGAGUAGAUACUGAGUAUAUUUACUUGAUGAAACACAAGUCUGAAUUAUUGAAUGGUUCAAGUAAUUACAGAGUGAAGUUGAAGAUCAUCGUGACAAGAGGAUAAAAUGACUAUGAUACCAUAGAGAUGAGUAUCUGAGUUACGAGCUUUGGCACGCAAUUAAGACAUUGUGGAAAUUGUUUCACAAUUAAUACCGCCUGGAACACCAUAGUGUGAUGUUGUGUCCGAACAUCAUAGUUGUGCCCUAUUGGAUAUGGUGCGUACCAUGAUGUCUUUUAUCGAAUUACCACUAUUGUUCAUGGGUUAGGCAUUAGAGACAACCGCACUCACUUUAAUAGGGUACCACGUAAUUCCGUUGAGAUGACACCGUUUGAACUAUGGUUUGGAGAAACCUAAGUUGUCGUUUCUUAAAAGUUUGGGGCUGUGACGCUUAUGUGAAAAAAGUUUCAGGUUGAUAAGCUCGAACCCAAAGCAGAUAAAAUGCAUCUUCAUAGGACACCCAAAACAGUUCGGUAUACCUCCUAAUUCAGAUCCGAAAGCAAUAGGGAUUGUUUCUUGAAUUGGGUCCUUUCUCAAGGAAAAGUUUAUCUCGGAAAGUUGAGUGGGAGGAUGGUGGAGACUUGAUGAGGUUAUUGAACCGUCACUUCAACUAGUGUGUAGCACGGCACAUGAAGUUGUUCCUGUGGCGCCUACACCAAUUGAAGUAGAAGCUUAUGAUAGUGAUCAUGAAACUUCGGAUCAAGUCACUACCAAACCUCGUAGGACGACAAGGAUGCGUACUACUUCAUAGUGGUAUGUACUCCUGUCUUGGAGGUCAUGUUGCUAGACAACAAUGAACCUACGAGCUAUGGAGAAGCGAUGGUGGGCCCAGAUUNNNNNNNNNNCAAAAUGGCUCGAGGCCAUAAAAUCAGAGAGAGGAUCCAUGUAUGAAAACAAAGUGUAGACUUUGGAAGAACUACUUAAUGGUCGUAAGGCUGUUAGGUACAGAUGGAUUCUAAGAGGGAAUACAGACAAUGAUGGUAUGUGUCACCAUUAAGAAAGGUCAGCUUGUCGCUAAGAUGUUUCCGACAAGUUCAAGGAGUUGACUGGGAUGAGACAUUCUCACUCGUAGUGAUUCUAAGAGUCUGUUGGAAUCUUAUUAGCAGUUACUGCAUUAUUUAUGAAAUCUUGCAGAUAGGAUGUCAAAACAUUGUUUCCUCGAUGAUUUUCUUGAGGAAAGGUUGUGUGUGAUACAACCAGAAGGUUUUGACAAUCCGGAAAGAUGCUAACAAGAAUGCAAAGCUCCAGCAAUCCUUCUAAGGACUGGAGUAAGCAUCUCGGAGAUGGAAUAUACACUUUGAUGAGAUAAUCAAAGAUUUUGGGUUAAUACAAAGUUUAUGAGAAACUUGAAUUUCCAAAGAAGUGAGUGGGAGCACUAUAGAAUUUCUGAUGAGUAUAUGUUGUUGACAUAUUGUUGAUCAGAAAUGAUGUAGAAUUUCUGGAAAGCAUAUAGGGUUAUUUUGAAAAGGGUGUUUCAUUAGAAAACCUGGAUUAAGCUGCUUGAACAUCGAGCAUCAAGAUCUAUGAGGAUAGAUCAAAAAUACUUAAUGGUACUUCCAAAUGAGCACAUACCUUGACAUGAUCUUGAAGGUGUCCAAGAUGGAUCAGUCAAAGAAGGAGUUCUUGCCUGAGUUGUAAGGUAUGAAGUUAAGACUUAAAGCUCGACCACGGCAGAAGAGAGAGAAAGGACGAAGGUCGUCCCCUAUGCUUUAGAUGUAGGCUCUGCAUAUGCUAUGCUGAGUACCGCGCCUGAUGUGUGCCUUGCCACGUGUCUGGCAAGGGGGUACAAGAGUGAUCCAGGAAUGGAUCAUUGGACAGCGGUCAAAAUUGUCCUUGGAGUAAUAAGGACAUGUUUCUCGAUUAUGGAGGUGAUAAAGAGCUCGGCAUAAAGGGUUACGUUGAUGCAAGCUUUAACACCUAUCCGAAUUACUCUGAGUAGCAAACCGGAUACGUAUAGUGGAGCAACCAUUUGGAAUAGCUCCAAGUGGAGCGUGGAAGCAGCAUUUACAAUAUGACCUAGAGAUUUGCAAAGUACAUACGGAUCUGAAUGUUGCAGACCCAUUGACUAAAACCUCUCUCACAAGCAUAACAUGAUCAAACCCCAGAACUCAUUGAGUCUUAAUCACAUGAUGAUGUGAACUAGUUUAGUGACACUAGUAAACUCUUUGGAUGUUGGUCACAUGGCGAUGUGACCUAUGAGUGUUAAUCACAUGGCAAUGUGAACUAGAUUAUUGACUCUAGUGCAAGUGGGAGACUGUUGGAUAUAUGCCCUAGAGGCAAUAAUAAAUUAGUUAUUAUUACUAUAUUUCCUUGUUCAUGAUAAUCGUUUAUUAUCCAUGCUAUAAUUGUAUUAAUAGGAAACUCAGAUACAUGUGUGGAUACAUAGACAACAACAUGUCCCUAGUAAGCCUCUAGUAGACUAGCUCGUUGAUCAAUAGAUGGUUACGGUUUCCUGACCAUGGACAUUGGAUGUCGUUGAUAAUGGGAUCACAUCAUUAGGAGAAUGAUGUGAUGGACAAGACCCAAUCCUAAGCCUAGCACAAAGAUCGUGUAGUUCGUAUGCUAAAGCUUUUCUAAUGUCAAGUAUCAUUUCCUUAGACCAUGAGAUUGUGCAACUCCCGGAUACCGUAGGAAUGCUUUGGGUGUACCAAACGUCACAACGUAACUGGGUGGCUAUAAAGGUGCACUACAGGUAUCUCCAAAAGUGUCUGUUGGGUUGUCACGAAUCGAGACUAGGAUUUGUCACUCCGUGUGACGGAGAGGUAUCUCUGGGCCCACUCGGUAGGACAUCAUCAUAAUGUGCACAAUGUGACCAAGGGGUUGAUCACGGGAUGAUGUGUUACGAAACGAGUAAAGAGACUUGCCGGUAACGAGAUUGAACAAGGUAUCGGGAUACCGACGAUCGAAUCUCGGGCAAGUACUAUACUGGUAGACAAAGGGAAUUGAAUACGGGAUUGAUUGAAUCCUUGACAUCGUGGUUCAUCCGAUGAGAUCAUCGUGGAACAUAUGGGAGCCAACAUGGGUAUCCAGAUCCCGCUAUUGGUUAUUGGUCGGAGAGUUGUCUCGGUCAUGUCUAUGUGUCUCCCGAACCCGUAGGGUCUACACACUUAAGGUUCGAUGACGCGGGUUAUAGGGAAUAGAUGUACGCGGUUACCGAAUGUUGUUCGGAGUCCCGGAUGAGAUCCCGGACAUCACGAGGAGUUCCGGAAUGGUUCGGAGGUGAAGAUUGAUAUAUUGGACGAAGGGUUUUGGAGUCCGGAAGUGUUCCGGAGGUACCGGGUGAUGACCAGCAUGACCGAAAGGUGUUUCGGGAGCCCCGGCAAGUGUUGGGGGGCUUCAUGGGCCAAGUGAAGGGGGAAAACCAGCCCACUAAGGGGCUGUGCACCCCCCUCACCUAUUCCCACGUGACCAGGGGGUUUGGGGCGCCCCAUCCGGGGUUCCCACCUCCUGGCUUGGGGGCCAAGUCACCCAAAGGGGAGAUCUCAUCUGCCCUGGCCGCCGGCCCCCCUAGGGGAAACCCUAGGGCGCCUUCCCCUCCCCUUGCCCCUAUAUAUAGUGGAGGUUUUGGGGCUGCCCAACACACGAGUCUCUCUCUCCCAAGGCGCAGCCCUACCUCUCUCCCUCCUCGUCUCUCGUAGUGCUUGGUGAAGUCCUGCUAGAGUACCGCGCUCCUACACCACCACCACGUCGUCGUGCUGCUACUGUAUGGAGUCAUCCGCAACCUCUCCCUCUCUCCUUGCUGGAUCAAGGCAUGGGAGACGUCACCGGGCUGCAUGUGUGUUGAACGCGGAGGCGCCGUUGUUCGGCGCUUAGAUCAGAAUCAACCGUGAUCUGAAUCGCUACGAGUACGACUCCUUCAUCCGCGUUCUUGUAACGCUUCCGCUUAGCGAUCUACAAGGGUAUGUAGAUGCACUCCCCUUUCCCUCGUUGCUAGAUUACUCCAUAGAUUGAUCUUGGUGUUGCGUAGAAAAUUUUGAAUUUCUGCUACGUUCCCCAACAUCCGUCACCAACGCUGAUGAUAAUGACAAGGACGACUCGGAUCCCACCUACUCCUUCAUGGCACGUGGUGCCAAGGUAAAAUCACGCGAUUCUUACUUUCAAACAUCAAGUGAAGAUGACUCUGAUGGUGAAUCCAAACCUAGUUACAAAACACUUGCUAAAAUUGCAACUGAAAAACAAAAAGCUAUCGAACAUAUUCAAAAACUGUUAGACAAAAGCGAUGACCUAUUGGACGCGGAAAUGUCCCGAUCUCAGUCCUUAAUUAAAGACAUCAAAAAUCUUCAUGUUAAGUACGAAGAACUUGAAAGUCAUCAUGAAACGCUCACAACAACUCAUGAAAAGCUUUCCUACGAUUAUCUUCAAAGGAAGCAAGAUCUUGAGAAAUUGAGAGUGAUUCAUGAAGAUCUUCAAAAAGAGAACGAGUCACUUCGCGCUUAAUAGAUCAGUCCCGCUCAGCAAGGUUUUGAACCACCAUGUCUAAAAUGCAUUGAGCAUGAUAAAGAUGCCUCUGUUGCUGAAUGUUCUACUGCUACUACUGUUGCAAUAUCUUCAACUGCUGAUGUGGUAACUAACCCCUCUAGUGAGGAUACCACUACUAUUGCUAAUGAGAAUGCUAGGUUGAAGACACUGCUUGAGACAGGGAUGUACAAAAGUCUCAAAGGGCAUCAAACAUUAUGUGAUGUCCUCAAAAAGCAGAUUCUGAACAAAACCCUAGGAAAGAGGGUGUUGGGUUUGAGAGGAAAAUGAAUGUUGAUGGGUCGUACUAGAAGCCUGAGCAGUACCCCAAAACCACAUGGGUUGCUACAAAGGAACCUUCAGUAGAGCCAUCCACCUUAUCUGGUUUCACUUGUGCUAACCCUAUUAUCAUUGAUGAAUCCUUUGAUGCAAACUAUAAAUGUUUAAGAAUCAGAAUGGUGAAGCAUUUGCCAGGUAUAUUGGUACUAACUGCAGGAAUGGGCCACCUAUGAAGAAGAUAUGGGUACCCAAAAGUUGUCUUGAGAAUAUUCCGGUGAAUGUCAUCUUGACACCACCUGUGAAGAAGACAAACCCCAUACCAAAGGCUACAUAUGGUCCUAAAGCUUCAUACAGACCGAGGACUCAUCUGAGUCACCCUAACAUCAAUGUUUUGCACGGAAAUCAUACUCAGACCCAUGAAUAUGAGCGUGUUUCCUCAAACCGCUAUGUUCAUAUAACUAAGAACUUUUCUGCUUAUUCCUAUGAGUAUUAUUCACCUCCUGCAAGGCCAUUUACUAGGGAUCCAAAGCCGAAGUUCUCAGAUGCUGCACUUAGACUCAUUGCUUCUAAGCCACCCCUAAAAAUGUGGGUGGUUAAGAAAACUUAACUCUCUUUUGCAGGGAAAGGUCUCCAACCGGAAAUCUAAGGCGUCCAAUGCUAAUGCUGGGGACCUUAAACAUCUUGUGGGGCGCAAGAUAAAAUGCCCAAAUGGUCUUACUUUGUAUUUCGUUCCGGGAUUCCUUGAUACUCAUCCUAUCUAUCCUAACCAAGAUCUGAAUUUCCAUGUUCCACUUGUUUGUCAAAUGUUUAUGCUUCACAACUCGCUUGGUGAAGCCUAUCCCCCAAACUGCACUGUAGGCUAUGACACCUCGUACUUCAGAAUGGAUUAUGGACAGUGGAUGCACUAACCACAUGACUGGCGAUCGAAGUCUUCUGAUGGAUUCAACCCUACGUCCAUCAGACAAGAGUCACAUCACAUUUGCGGACACUGGUAAAAGCAAGGUAUUGGGUCUAGGUAGAGUUGCAAUAUCAAGGGAUCAGCACAUGGAUAAAGUGAUGCUUGUUGAGUCCCUUGGUUUCAACUUAAUGUCUGUCUCAAUGCUUUGUGACUUAAACAUGAUUGUGCUAUUUGGAAAAUAUUGAUGCCAUGUGCUAAUGGAAUUUGACAAGUCUCUAGUCUUUGAAGGGUAUCAGAAAGAUGAUCUGUAUAUGGUAGAUUUCUCAGCAGGACCACAGAUGGCUGUAUGUCUUCUAGCAAAAGCUUCAGAGUGCUGGCUUUGGCAUCAAAGGCUAGGACAUGCUGGCAUGAGGAACUUGCACACUCUCGCGAAGAAGAAGCAUGUCGUGGGCAUCAAAGGCGUCAAGUUCAAGAUGAAUCAUCUGUGUGGCGCCUGUGAAGCUAGAAAGAUGACCAGGGCCAAGCAUCCCUCGAAGACAAUCAUGAUACUUAUCAACCCUUCGAGCUGCUACACAUGGACUUAUUUGGCCCUACUCACUCUCAAUGCUACUACUUGCCUCUAUGGCUUUGUCAUUGUUGAUGAUUACUCUAGAUAUACUUGGGUGCAUAUAAUCCUCUAUAAGACUGAAGUGCAGGAUGUCUUCAGACGCUUUGCCAAUUGUGCCAUGACAAACUAUGGCGUCAAGAUCAAGCACAUCAGAAGCGACAACGGCACUGAGUUCAAGAACACCGGCCUCGACCUUUAUCUGGAUACUUUGGGUAUUACUCAUGAGUUCUCUGCUCCUUACACACCUCAGAAGAAUGGCAUCACGGAGCGCAAGAACAGAACUCUUAUUGAGAUGGCCCGAAUGAUGCUUGAUGAGUACAAGACUCCACGGAAGUUCUGGCCUGAAGCCAUUGACACUGCAUGCCACGUCAUCAACCGUGUUUAUCUUCACAAGCUUCUAAAGAAAACAUCCUAUGAUCUCCUAACUGGUAAGAAGCCAAAUGUAAGUUACCUCUGAGUAUUUGGUGCUAGGUGCUGGAUCAGGGAUCCACAUCACACUUCAAAAUUUGCACCGAAAGCACAUGAAGGUUUUAUGCUUGGUUACAGAAAGGAUUCGCACUCCUACAGAGUCUUCAACCUCUUUCACUAUAAAGUGGUUGAAACUGUGGAUGUGCGGUUCGAUGAGACUAAUGGCUCGCAAAGUGAGCACCUGUCAAAUGUGCUAGAUGAAUUACCCCCUAGUGAGUCAAUCAAGCAAAUGGGAAUUGGAGAGAUCAUACCAUCUAAGAAUCAGACUGAAGAAGAACUGGUCGUUUCUGCACCUAAUCAACCUAAAGACAAUGCUCAGCCUGAAGACAAUCCCCCAUAUAAUGACAUUGAUCAGCAUGAGCAAAAUCUUCGUCCUGUUCAUCCUUGAGUUGCAAAUGAAGUACAGAUUGAGAAGAUAAUCGACAGCAUCAAUGCACCUGAUCCACUCACUCGUUCAAGAGCUACUCAAAGAGCAACACAACUAACCAAUUUCUAUGGGCAUUUUGCAUUCGUCUCAAUCCCAGAACCCAAGAAAGUCGAUGAAGCCUUCAUGGAACCUGAAUGGAUUCAAGCUAUGCAAGAAGAUCUUCAACAGUUCGAGCUGAAUAAUGUGUGGGAAUUGGUCAAGCGUCCUGAUCCUUGAAAGCACAAUAUCAUUGGCACCAAAUGGAUAUAUCGCAACAAGCAAGAUGAGCAUGGACAAGUCGUCAAAAACAAGGCUCGUCCCGUUGCACAAGGUUACACUCAAGUGGAAGGAAUUGACUUCGAUGAAACAUUUGCUCCGGUGGCAAGGCUUGAAGCCAUUCGCAUACUCCUAGCCUAUGCAAAUCAUCACAACAUCCUUCUGUAUCAAAUGGAUGUGAAGAGUGCUUUUCUCAAUGGAAAGAUAGAAGAAGAAGUAUAUGUCGCACAACCUCCUGGCUUUGAAGAUCCAAAACAUCCUGAUAUGGUAUACAAGCUCAACAAGGCACUGUAUGGCCUCAAACAAGCCCCUCGUGCUUGCUAUAACACACUCAAAGACUUCCUGAAGAGCAAAGGCUUCAAACCUGGUUCACUAGAUCCUACACUCUUCACAAAGACAUAUGAUGGUGAACUAUUUGUGUGCCAAAUCUAUGUGGAUGACAUUAUCUUCGGCUGCACCAACAAGAAAUACAGUGAUGAGUUUGGUCACAUGAUGCAAGAGCAAUAUCAGUUUUCCAUGGUGGGAAAGCUGAAGUUCUUCCUGGGUCUCCAAAUCCAUCAGCAACGCAACAACAUCUUCAUAUCUCAAGAAAAAUACCUCAAAGAUUGCCUGAAGAAGUUUGGGAUGCAAGACUGCAAAGGAUACACGAUGCCAAUGCGAACUAAAAGUCAUCUGGGUCCCGACGCCAAUGGUAAACAGUUCGAUCAAAAGGUAUACCGCUCCAUGAUUGGUUCUUUGCUUUAUUUAUGUGCAUCUAGGCCAGAUAUAAUGCUUAGUGUUUGCAUGUGUACCCGAUUCCAAGCGGCACAAAAGGAAUCGCAUCACUUAGCUGUGAAGCAAAUUCUUCGAUAUUUGGCUUACACCCCAACUCUAGGAUUAUGGUAUCCAAAGGGCUCAGAGUUUGAUCUAGUUGGAUUCUCAGAUGCUGAUUAUGCUGGCGACAAGGUUGAUCGCAAGUCCACAUCUGGCACAUGUCACUUUCUGGGACGAUCUCUUGUCUGUUGGUCCUCAAAGAAGUAGAACUGUGUAUCUCUCUCCACUGUUGAAUCUGAAUACAUUACUGUUGGACCUUGCUGUGCUCAGCUUCUCUGGAUGAAGCAAACUCUCAAGGACUAUGGUAUCCACCUGAAGAAUGUGCCACUGUACUGCGACAGUUAGAGUGCCAUCAAGAUUGUCAACAACCCAGUUCAGCACUCGAAGACAAAGCACAUUGAAAUUCGUCAUCACUUUCUCUGAGAUCAUGUUAUGAAGGAAGAUAUUGAUAUCAUUCACGUCAACACUAAAGAGCAAUUGGCUGAUAUCUUCACAAAGCCCUUGGAUGAUAAAAGGUUUUGCAAGUUGCGGUGUGAGCUAAAUAUCUUGGAAUCCUCAAAUGUCCUGUCAUUAGGCACACAUCCUAACACUUACACAUUUUGAUGACUUAGAUGUGCAACACAUGAAGUAAUGUAUAUCUUCAAUCAAUGAAUACAUACACUCUGAGUGUGAAUACAUUAAUACGGAAUUUGACUUUAGAGCGCCACGAUAAUUGUGCGUCGUGUCUGGGUCUAAUACUUCCUAUACGGUGGGUAACGCCACCACCUAAUUUUUGUUUGAAGUGUUUCCCUUGGCGUUAUGUUUGCAAAGUCUUCAUAUUUGGUUUGUCUUCAUUCCCGACUUAUAUUCAAGUUUAUCUUCAUCUUGUUGAUUUGGUCUUAUACUAGUAUUCAUACAUAUUUGUGUUCUGUCCUCUACAAAAAUUCACUUAUAGCUAUGACUUCGUGCUGAAUCUCUUGAUCUAAGUGAAUGUGAUCGGACCCUAACCUAUCUAUGCUUCUACCUCAACUCUAUCUGUCCAAAUCAUAUGCAUUCUAUUGAAAACUAUCGAUUGUCUUCACUGAGACCUUGUCAGCUGAAGUCAAUCUGACAAACAUUUAUAUCUGUUUUUAAUGCUAUAUCCUUAUUGCCUGAAAGCAGGAGAAUUCGGAACGACCACCCCGACAAUCCACGCGUGCGUGGGAACAUGGAACAACUUCCAAGGUGUUGCAUGCUUGCCAUGUGCCCUUCAGAUGUGAACCGCCAGGGGCACCUGUAUAAUUGUGUUGUGCCGUCCCUUUCCUUGUAAAUACCCAUCACAUCACGGUCAAAAAUCCUUCUUCCACCUCGCCACCUCUCGUAAACCCUAGCGCCACCGCUAGCUCUCAACGACGCCGGCGACGAAGCGCUUAGCUGCUGUGACUUCUCCGACGCCGUCCUCACACCGGUCGCGGACCUCGUCCUCUCCGCCGUCGCCGUAGGUGUCUUCCGUCGCCAAGUUAGGGCACGGAAGAUCGAACUGCUCAGCCUCCAACUUCGCUCCAUCUAGCAGUUCUUCGUGUGGUAAUUAAAACUCACUUUUUACCUUCUUUUCGAUCUAAUAGAUUCAUCCUUCUUUACCAAAAGCGGUUUAUGGAUCUCCAAAGUUGAAUCUAUCUCUUUCUGCAUCUCAUACUAUGCCUAGUCUGUUCACUUAUGCUUCUCUACAAGUUAGAUUCCUUACUUGUACUUAUUCUUGGGUUCGUACAAAUCAGGAACCAACUCUCAACAAAUAAGUGAAUGUCUUCGCGUUAUGAGGUCAAUGUCUUCAAACUGAUUUAUCUUCAAAAUCUUCUGAGAAUGCAUAUGACCUCUUCCCCUUCCCUCGCACCUCUAAUGCUGUCACAGGUACAUGUCCGUGGGAGAAUCCCUUGGUUCUCAUAGUCUGCAUUCAUUUGCAGAAUUCUUACAAAGUCACAUAAAUUCUCGUGAAGCCAGUUCUUGUUUGACCAGCCGUCGGAAGCCUUUGCUAGCUCUGAAGCCUUUCAGGUUAAGCUUCAUGGCUACGGAGAAGUCAGCUAGAAAGGGUGGCAGACAGCACCAUGGGAAUACUUCCAAGGAUUUGCCACCAGGCCUGCACGAACUAUACAAGACAGACCCAGAGGAAACCUAUGGAGAACGCAAGAAUCGAAUCCAAUGGAUCCAAAGAUAUUGGGCAGAGGAAUAGUUCAAGUAUAGAUUUGUCACUGAAGAGUAUGCCGAGAAGAAUGCCAUCAAGCGACCCUGGGGAGAUAUACUAUACAAAAAUCUUCCUCCCAGGUCCAAGACUGAAGCUAUUGAUCAAGGCUUCUAUCCGUGCAUGGUUCGCGGACCGCGGCUAGAGAAUGUUGACCCCUCUUCUCUGCUGUGGUGUCGCGAAGACAAUCUGUUCAAGCGCAAAUUCAAGUUCUCAAAAGACUCUGCUAUGAAGAACAAGAAGGCAUAUGGACUUGACUUCAACCCAGGUCCGUCUGCUCCUCGGGAAGAUGGCACCCGUGAAGCCAAUGAAAAUAGAAUCGGCCCCUUCUACAACCUCGAAGGCCUCAUCACUCACAUUGCCGUCCAAGGUGCAAAUGUGGAUCACUCUGGUGAUGAUGUUGACUCUGAUGAUGCACCGGCUCCUCCUCCUAAGCCGCAGAAGCACAAGAAAUCCAAGGCUUCAAAACCUACUGCUGCACCAAAAGCUUCUCGAGUGAAGACAUUGGCAACUGCCCCUCCUGCUCCAAGUAACAAUUCUGAAGAUCUCUCUCGCAUCUCCAAGAAGCAAGAGAAGACACAAAAGAAAAAUAUCCAAAGUUCUGGUCAAGCCCUGACACCUGCUGCCGUUCUGUGGAACGAAACCGAAGCUAUUGAUCUGUCAUCAGAUGAUGAGUGUGGAGAUGAUGCUCUUGAGCAGCUGAUAAAGAGCAAGCAAGAGGCGGAGAUCUUCAAUGAUCUACCCCUCUUCGACGUAAACAUUCUGAAUACCUUCAUUGAUGAAUGGUUUGACAACCCAGAUCUCAGUUUUGAUGAUCUUCAGCUCCAAAUUGGCAUCAGCGUUUCCUUUCAAGGUGCCAUUGCUCCUGAGCUGGCUCUAGCUGAGGAUUAUCGAACUGAAAAACAAGAUUGACUAUGAGAAAGAGCAUUUCAAGAAGCACAUGGUCAAGCUCAGUGUGGCUGAUGUUUAGAAAUUCAAACUGAUGUUGAAUGACCUCAAGGAUGCAUUUCGCAAGAAACGUGAAGAAGCCAAAGGUUCGCGCGAGCGCAUGAAGAAUCUAGCUGGCAAGUGUGUUCAAGAUUACAAUGAAGCUGAGAAGCGCAAGGCACUUGGGCGUCCCGGCAUUGACCCCAAGCUGGCUGCCAAAAAGAAGAAGUCUAUUGUGGCCCCAUCUGAAGCAUCAAGGCAGGAAGAACCUCGCAUUGUCUUCCCUGCCAGCAUGACAGGCUCGAAGCCUAAGGUCCCCACAGUGGCUUCAGAACAAAAGAAAACCAUGGCAGCUGAAGCUGAAGCCAUAAAGCGCAAGUUCAAGAACACCAAUGAUGACACUCCAUUGCCCAAGAAGAGAAAGACCAAGAAGAAAGAUCGGGUUGCUCCCACAGAGCCCCUCAUUGUCGAGCCCAUUGCUUUUGCUCGUCCUGCAUCCGAACACCAAGAGCCUCAAUUGAUAGUUCAUGAGCCUGCUUCCACAGAGGCUCCUGAAGCUGAAGAAGUUCCAGCCGUUGACCCCAUCAUGACUGAAGACAUUGGUCCCCAAGACAAUGUAGUUGAUAAUGAAGUCCUUCCCCAGAUCGAGCGCCAAAUGGUAUCAUCGCCUAUUCUCACGAACAGCAAACUCAUCAGUAUUGGUCGUCCUUUGACGCCAAUCUCUCAGGAUGCCUCAUGGGCUGAUCCCCCCCAACCAGCAACUCCAAGUCAAGACUCACCAAGUACACCCCGUCCUCCACCAGCGCAAGUCACCAGCCUAAUGGUGAAUGACGACAAUUACAUGGAGAGUACACCAUCACCAAAAGCGUCGCCCAUGUUCCAACGGCUUCGCAAAGGCCUAAGGCCAUCAGUCUCCAUGACAACCAUCACAGAAGAAGAUUCAAACCAAUCCAGCUCAGUGGCACGUCAAGUGUUCCCUAAAGAAAAUUCCUCUGUGUGGUUCCCACGUCCGAAGCCAAUGCUGCUGAAGACAAUCUGGCUACAUCAGCCAAUGAAAGACAAGAAGAAGAACGUGUUGCUACACCCCCUACCAACCAAGAAGUUGUUCUCAAGGAGAACGUGUCUGUGCCCGACCCUCCAACUACUCAAGUGGAGGUUGAAAAUCCUGAGGCGACCACCAAUAACUCCACUGAAGCUAAUGAUGUUGUCAUGGCUGAAGAUAAUGUGGCGCCUGCAAUGAACACUGUGCAUGAAGCCAAUGAUGCUCCUGCAACAAAUGUGCAGCCUGACGCCCUUGCUAAUGUCACUGCUCCUGUUCUGCCACCAAGGCCACACACUAUUGAGCAAGCAUUCUAUCAAGGCAAGCUGGUCACUGUCAGAUGGCCAAUUCUGGUUCCUCUGCCUACUCCCGGACCUCAGUUUGACUAUCAUGUGGAGCACAGGCCUCAGGUUCAGAAGCCAAAACCAAGGUUGCCAAGGUUUCCAGGUACUGCAUCUGCACCAGGAUCAUUCAAUGUCAAUGGCUUCAUUGCACACAACACCUUCUUUGAUAGAUCCAAGAACCCAUAUUCCAAACCAAGAAUAUCAUCUGAUCGGUUCUGGAGCUAUCAGUAGCGCAGCUAUUACUCCUGUGUUCUAUACAAUCAAGGGCACAUAUUUCCUCAUAUGCGUUUGGAUUCCGAAGCCAUUGCUGGCCUGCCCUGCUUAGAAGAAGCCCUAGACUGUUUUAGAGAUGUAGGCCUUCUUUAGUUUGUGACAGAUAAGGAUAAUUGGAAUGAAGAGCUUCUGCUGCAAUUCUAUGCAACUCUCCACAUUCGCGGCUACAACAGGGAUCCGAAGACAUGGGUCCUUGAGUGGAUGAUAGGCAAUGUACACCAUGAAGCCAAAGCUCUUGAUCUCAUUGAGCUUACUGGCCUGUCCACUCCAGGUGAACUCUAUGAACCUGGUUGUCAGCAUCACCGCAAUGCGUUGGAAAACAUCUUUUAGAAGCCAGAGCCCAAUAUGAGCCAAAUGCUGAGUAUGAUGAAGCCACUGCCACAGGAUGCUGAAUAUCCCAAGGAAUUCUUUGUUGAAGACCUAGAGUAUCUGCCCUGCACCAUCUAUCACAUUAUCAGGCAAACUCUAUGGCCCAGCAAAGGACAUUCUUCCUCAACAAAGCUCGAAGGCGCAAUGAAGACAUUGGUCUUCUACAUUCUCAAUGGCAUCAGCUUCAAUGCUCAGGAUUUCUUCAUUCGCCAAUUUGCUGCAUCUGGCUUAGACAUAUUUGGUCUGAAAUUCUAUGCUCCAUGGGUUAUGCGACUGAUCAAGCUUCACUCUACUGUUGACUAUCAGCCCUCUGCACGCCAUCUCAUAUUUCUAACACGAGAAGCCAUUUACCCAGAGCCUGCCAAGGAAGCAAUUUAUCUUCACAAUGUCGAUCGUCAGAGUUUCUCUUAGCAUGUUGAAGAUGUUUAGGAUGCUUCUCGUGUUUAUCCGCUGGCUGGCAAUACUCGCCGUGCACGUACUGAAGCCAUAGAAAGCACUAUUGCUCCAAGGCCUCGGAAGCGAUCUCGUGUGCUCAAUGACCGAGAGCUUCUUGUGGCCUUGCAUCAGAAACACGACAAGCAUCAUUACUGGCUAAAGCGUCAAAUGCAAAGCCUCUUGGUGGAUAUCAAUCGCAUUCACAACCUUGCCACCAAGAAUGCCUUUGUCACUCAUGAAACUUGUCGGAGGUCCUGGAAGAGUUUGACAUUGCUCAGUGCUGAAGCUGAUCUUCAAGACGAUGGCUUCACAGAGAGAUUCAAGUUCGACACCACUCCUCCCAGGAAUGUUGUCUUGCGUCGAACCCCGUUUCUUGAAGAUUCAGAGUACUCCUCCUCUGCGGCAACUAUUAAUGCCAUAGUCCUUGAUGACACCGAUGAUGCUACUUCACCACCUCCAACUUUGGCGCAUAUCAACACUGCACCAAGUUCGUCUGCACCACCAAACCUCAACGACGACCCUGCUGCCUCACCUACUCCUCAUGGGAACGAGUAGAAACUAUGUCUUCAAACCUUUUUGGUCCUUACUGACAAAAGGGAGAGAAGCAUAUGUUGAUAGUCUUCAAGCGGGUCCAUAUGGGUGGUUGCUAUACUUUUGCCUAGUGUUUACAACUCUCACUUUUGAUACAGUUGGUUCUUUGAGUUGUAACACUUAAACGUGAUGGUCGUCCGCUACUUUUUCUGCUAUUCUGUGAUGCGACGAUAAAUUCCUCAUGUGCGAUGAUAAAUCCCGCAUGAAGUCAUUCCGCAGACGUCCAUUUUUCAUUAUGCAUGUCAUUAUUCCUGUAUGUCGGUUCAUGCAUGAUGUAUUGUCUUCAUAUGGUGAAGAGGAUCUCCAAAAAUACAACCUGCCAUGUGCAUUUGUAUUCCAACACAAAACAUUUAUAUGCACAUCUUCAGGGGGAGCCUUUUUGCCACCUAUGAAGACAAUAUCUUAAUCCUUUACAAUUUCACAUACUUUUAUCCCUGUUGAAAACUUCAACCAGUUUGUCAUCAAUCACCAAAAAGGAGGAGAUUGUAAGUGCAUCUAGUGCCACCCCUAGUUGGUUUUGGAGUGUUGACGACAAACCUGGUUGAGGGACUAAUGUGUUUGUGAGAAUUGCAGGAUAACACAGGUAGUAGUCCCUCAUUGAUUCGGUUUACCUACCGGAGAUGACCCCUAAAAAUGUGUGAAGACAUUGAAGACAAUGGUGGUUUGUGAAGCUAUUCACGUUGAAGACUAUGACAUGAGAAGACAUCGCGUGAAGACUAUGGAGCGCGAAGACUUAGUUGUUUCAUUGUUUCCUUUUCUUCUUUGUUGAGUCAUAGGAACCACCGUACUGUUAAGUGGGGUCCAAGUGAACAAAGUCAGAGUGACUAAAGUGAUGCUCAACCAAAUCCUAUGUCUUCGAGCGAAGACAAUGAGAGCAAAUCUUAUCCAAAGUUGGAUGAGUCAACUUUACUUGUAGCCCAAGUCAAGCUGUCGCGUGUGUUUGAAAUCUGACCGUUGAGACACGUGUCAGUUCCUUAGUGACCUAGGGUCAUUUCGAACAAAUCAGGGCGGGUUGCCCAGUGGCUAUAAAUAGCCCACCCCCUACACCAUAAAUUGGUGGCUGCUUAGAGUUAGUACACGGCUUUUCUCGUUUGAGAGCAACCCCGAAGCUUUUGAGAGAGAAUCCUUACGAGGACAAAGCCCAAACCACCCAGAGCCCAAAGAGUGUUUGGCAUCACUAAAGUCUUUCUGUCCGCGUGAUCUGAAGACUUGUUACACUUGAGGACUGUGAAUCCUCCAGCCAGUUAGGCUUCGCGUUCUGAGCAUCCAAGAGUCAUUGUGGAUUGCCGGUGAAUGAAGUCUGUGAAGGUUUGGAAGUCUACCUUGAAGACUUACCAGAGUGAUUGGGCGGGGACUAGGUGUCCUUAGCUCGAGGGGAAUAAGGUGAAGACGUGGUCUUCUGAGUUGAAUCUCAACCUCCCUAACCAGACGUACAGUUGUCACAGCAACUGGAACUGGUCGAACAAAUCUCUGUCCUCUUGAAGCUACUGGUUCUAUCUCUAACUUCUCUUUACUUAUAGUUUUGUCUUCGUGAAGUCAUUGCCUGCUUGCAUUAUCUGUUUGACUUCACUGUGUGACUACCUGUUCUAAUUGGCUUCAUACUAUCUUCCAUCUUGAUCCAUACUACCUAGCUGCUGAUAGUCUUCAUGCUUUCACUUCAUUGAAUACUUGACUAUAGCUUGUCUAGUGUAGUCUACCUUCCGCUGCAUACGAAUAGUGUCAUUUCUAUUGUUUGUCUUCAAAAAUGCCAUGUUUUGAAGACUUCCAUAAAAAUCACCUAUUCACCCUCCCCCCCCCUCUAGUCGAUAACUAGCUCUUUCACUCAACCAAAAAUAUGGGACAAGUAUCACAAGAUAUGCACGGGAGUAAAAAUGGCACUAUAUGAUAUAUCUAAUGAUGCAGCAAUAUGAUAUCGUAUCACUAUGGUGCACAAGUUUCCGCGAAGCCCGGCAAUACUCGGAUAGCUAGUCUAAAUAGGUAUGAAGGUAUGCACAAAGAUGGUGGGGCUAUCAAGAUGUAAUGGCAAGGAAGGAAAAGUUUAUGACGGAUUGGAUACCUUUGUCACACUUAACCUUUCACGAAGUCAGGGGUAACCGGCCUUGCUUCCUGGUUGAAGAUGGUCUCAAAGGAUGGAUGGUCGUCGUCGAUGUGGAAGCUCAUGGUGGAUGUAGUCGAUGGACCGAUACAAGUCACCGGUUGUUGAUGAAGAUGUAACCAUCCCUAAGUAGCCGAAACACCUUAGGAGACUCAAAACACAACUCGAACAACCACAAAUACCAAAGGGACCAAAAUGGGUUAGUUUGCGGAAGUUUUAUGUGGUGGUGCGGAAGUUAUGGCGGAGGGCCGAUGCAAAAGAUGCAAAACGGACAAAAUUUGAUGGAGUCAAAAGGUGGUAAAACCAAGAUGAUCAGAUCGGGGCACGUCACUAGCUUUUCAACGAGCCAAAGAACACCCAAAUCGGAGUUCGGAUGCGAAAGUUAUGGCCAAAACGGUGAAGUCCGGACGGCUGGUGUAGGGGGGCCAUGCGCACGGGGUCCAGGGCCCAUGGACAUGGGGUCCCGUGCGCAUGGUACAUGUACCGAGGACACGGGGUCACCCAGAGACUUCGCGGGGGUCCGUGCACAUGGGGUUGGGGCACGGGGUAGGCGGAAAAUUCGCGAUUUCUUGGUCAAAUUCGAUGGGGGGGGAGAAAAAUUGGGGUAUGGGGAUGCAAGAGGGGGUAGAUAUACUUGUUAUACAUCAGAUCCAUGGAUCAAAAUCAACAAAAACUCACAAAAACUUCAAAUCACAAAAAAUUUGGUGUGGCUCUUUUUGUGGGGAUUUUUGACAUUGGGCAAGGACAGGCAAAAUUAGGCUAGAAAACAAAGAGGGGAGGCUCCAAUUUCAUGAUCAACCAUGGCUCAUGAUACCAAGAUGUUGAGGGUAGAACCCUAAGUGAAGAUCUUUCACGAAUUGGAGAGGGAAUCCCCAAGAACAAGAUGAACACAAGAGAGAAAACAAGAGGAACACUCAAGAACAAGUCCAAUCACACAUCCACUAGACCAACAAACACACAAGAUCCACAAGGUACAUGAACAAUCAAAGGGAAACAAGAUACAUGGUAGAGUUCAUCCCAAAUCCUAUGAAGGAGAUGAGGGCUUGAUGAUCUAGAUAGAUCCUUCCCUCAAGGGGGUCUUGAAUCCCUAAGGAUCUUCUCCAAUGGAGGUCUUGUACUCCAAUGGAGUCUUCUCUCUCAAGAGGAAUCCCACAAGGGGAGAUACAUGAGCUAAGCUCUAUGAUUUGUGUCUAUUCUUAGCUUAAUCCCAAUGGAGGAGUAAGGGGAGUAUAUAUAUAGGUCCAAGGGAUGAAGGGGUAAGGAGGGACGAAAUGGGGAUACAAGGGCCAAGCCCAACAGCCACGCACACGGGGUCCCGUGCGCACGGGGUAAGUGGAGCCCGUGCGCACGGGGUCUCCAGGGACCUGACGCAUGAGCCCAUGCUCAUGGGUUCUGUGAGGCCCGUGGACAAGGGGGUCCCGUGGGCACGGUACAUGCCCGUGCGCAGGACCGCCAGCCUGGGAGGCCCAUGGGCACGGGGUCGGAGGGGGCCGUGCGAACGGGGUCGCCUAGGAGCUGCUGCCUUCUUCUUGGCGCUUCCUUCUCCGCUUCCAGGCUUCCCUCUUGGAUGGCGUAGAUGUUCUCUUCUUCCCAGACUCCUCCUUGAUGAAUGUGUAGCUCCGCUCACACCUAUGUAUGCACACGAGAGAGGGGUCAAAUAGUAUACCAUCCUCGAAAGGUACAAGUGAACACAUGUAAAGGAGAUGAUUCACCUUUUUUUCAUGUAGUAGAUGUGGCACGUGUCACUUGCCAAAUGGACUCUUGACAUGGUGAUGACCAUAGGAUGCUCCGCAUCAAUGUCUUAUAAACCAAAUAAUUCAAAUUUGACCAUCUAAUCAUGAUUUUUUGGGCAUGUGGACAUUACAAAAAUGUUGCCAUGUGACAAGUUUGAAAAUUCAUAAAUUGCCAUGUGGACCGGAAAAAAAUUGAAUUUGCCAUGAUUAGAAAAACAAGAAUGAUAUGACUUUGCCAUGUGAGAAAAGGAUAAUUGUUUUCUAAAUUUACCCGUGUAGAAACAACUUUUCUAAGGAAAAGCAAAAACAAAUCUAAAAUUUGCCAUGUGAUUGUUACAAACAUUUAAAAAAUCCAUGUCUUACAUACACCAAAUAAUCCAAAAUUUCCCAUCUAACCAUGAUUUUUUUGCCAUGUGGACAUUACAAAAAGUAUGUAAAAUUUGUCAUGCGAGAAGUUUGAAAAUUCAUAAAUUUUCCAUGUGGACAUCACAAAAAAAUACAAACUUGCAAUGUGUAGAAAACAAAUAUGAUAUGAAUUUACCAUGUGAGAAAAGGAGAAAUAUUUCUAAAUUUGCCAUGUGUAGAAAACAACUUUACUUAGAAAAGGCAAAACGACAACUAUGUGUUUGGAUAUAUAUCCAAUAAAAUACUUUUGGAAAGCAACUUUGAGUCAUAAAAAGAAAAAUUAUGGUACACAUAUGUUUUUCUAGCUGGGAACAUUUUUAGCAUAACGAUAAGUCAAUCAUUUGUCAUAUAUUAUUCGACAAUGAAAAAUAUGUUCAAAAAAUGUUGGCUGCAUAUAAGAUGCUUGUGUGUAGUUUCUAGGGCUUACACUUGUUCCUUCAAAGCAAUGUGAUACGGUAAAAUACAAGUUGCAAUACAAGUUACUUUUUGUCAUGCUAAUUUACAUUUUAAAAAAUAGGAACAACUCUAAAUUUUGUACAUAUAUUUUCUAAUCUUGUGAAACUUGAUUUUGGCAUAUACAAUCAUAACAGAUGGUCAAUAUACCGGUUUGUGAGAGAAAAGCAAGUUUGUGUUAAACAUAUGCUUUUGACACUCUAAAUUGCUUUUCAAGUAUAUCCACCAGAAUGUGUCCAUGUGGGAUCUAGUUUUAAAAGGUCUCGUGACAAUAAACAUAAAAAAUGUAAGGAAAGCAUAUGAGAACUAGUUUUGAUCCAAAUAAAUACCAAAUCAUUGAUAUGUGCUAGAAAAGUAAGCUUCAUGCCACAAUCUUGAUUUCUUCAUGACAUAAUGUUGCUUUUUAGAAAAAUUUAUUAGAAUGUCGUCAUGUGGGAUCUAGUUUUGAAAACCUCCAAAUGAACACUAUGGUGAAAGUGGAUUCCGAUUUGGCCCAUUGGUUUGAAAUUAAUACAUUUUUUUGGUUUUGGGAUGGAUUUGCAUGGCGAUAACAUCAUCUUUAUGGGUUUUAUCACAUUGCUUUCCAUUUUUAGUACGUUGUUUGGUGAGAGGUGCACUUGUAUGCAAAUUAGCUGCAGGCUACCAUAGCAGACACGAGGUGAGAGGAAGAGGACAUUGAUGGCAAUAUGAGACAUGUAAAGAGGGAUCUCACCGCUUGCACCUUGAGCUUGCCCGCGUGCCGUCCUCCGCUGCUGAUACGCUCAUUUUGCAUCAUGUUUUCCUACUGUUAUAAUGUUUUUAUGCAUAAUAAUGCUUUUUGGAGUAAUUUUAAUGCCUUUUCUCUCAUAAUAUGCAAGGUUCACACAAAGAGGGAGAAUACCGGCAGCUGGAAUUCUGGACCUGAAAAAGCUACGCCAGGCCACCUAUUCUGCACAACCCCAAAUGAGCUGAAACUUCACGGGGAUUUUUUAUGGAAUAAAUAAAAAUUAUUGGAGCAAAUAACCACCAAAGGGGGCCCACCAGGUGGGCACAACCCACCUGGGCGCACCAAGGCUCCCAAGCGCGCCCUAGUUGGUUGUGCCCUCCUCGGCCCACCUCCGGUGCCCAUCUUCUGGUAUAUAAGUCAUUUUGACCUAGAAAAAAAA